rnacentral:rRNA from 1 species
UACGGAGGGGGCUAGCGUUGUUCGGAAUUACUGGGCGUAAAGCGCACGUAGGCGGAUGUUUAAGUCGGGGGUGAAAUCCCGGGGCUCAACCCCGGAAUGGCCUUCGAUACUGGACGUCUGGAGGUCGGGAGAGGCGAGUGGAAUUCCGAGUGUAGAGGUGAAAUUCGUAGAUAUUCGGAGGAACACCAGUGGCGAAGGCGGCUCGCUGGUCCGGUACUGACGCUGAGGUGCGAAAGCGUGGGGAGCAAACAGG